rnacentral:rRNA from 1 species
CUGCGCCACAAGUGGCAACCGCUUUUAUUGGGCCUAAAGCGUCCGUAGCCUGCUCUGUAAAUUCUUUGUGAAAUCGUCAUGCUUAACGUGACGGUGUGCAGAGAAAACUGCAGAGCUUGGAACCGGGAGGAGUCAGAGGUAUUUUUGGGGGAGCGGUAAAAUGCUAUAAUCCUAAAAAGACCACCUGUGGCGAAGGCGUCUGACCAGAACGGAUCCGACUGUGAGGGACGAAAGCUAGGGGAGCGAACCGGAUUAGAUACCCGAGUAGUCC